GAUGAACGCUGGCGGCGUGCCUAAUACAUGCAAGUCGAGCGGACAGACGAGGAGCUUGCUCCUCUGACGUUAGCGGCGGACGGGUGAGUAACACGUGGAUAACCUACCUAUAAGACUGGGAUAACUUCGGGAAACCGGAGCUAAUACCGGAUAAUAUAUUGAACCGCAUGGUUCAAUAGUGAAAGACGGUUUUGCUGUCACUUAUAGAUGGAUCCGCGCCGCAUUAGCUAGUUGGUAAGGUAACGGCUUACCAAGGCAACGAUGCGUAGCCGACCUGAGAGGGUGAUCCGCCACACUGGAACUGAGACACGGUCCAGACUCCUACGGGAGGCAGCAGUAGGGAAUCUUCCGCAAUGGGCGAAAGCCUGACGGAGCAACGCCGCGUGAGUGAUGAAGGUCUUCGGAUCGUAAAACUCUGUUAUUAGGGAAGAACAAAUGUGUAAGUAACUAUGCACGUCUUGACGGUACCUAAUCAGAAAGCCACGGCUAACUACGUG
rnacentral:rRNA from 1 species